CCUGCUUCUCGGCCUUUUGGCUAAGAUCAAGUGUAAUAUAAAAACAUAAUAAAGCAUUACACAUCAAAAGGCUUCCCUGUACAGGGCUGCCUUCAAAAUAAUAAUAAUUCAAUAUUUCAAUUGAACAAAA